rnacentral:rRNA from 1 species
UGCAGUCGAACGGAACUCUUCGGAGUUUAGUGGCGGACGGGUGAGUAACGCGUGAGAAUCUGCCUUCAGGUUGGGGACAACAGUUGGAAACGACUGCUAAUACCCAAUGUGCCGAGAGGUGAAAGCUUUAGUGCCUGAAGAUGAGCUCGCGUCUGAUUAGCUAGUUGGUGAGGUAAUGGCUUACCAAGGCGACGAUCAGUAGCUGGUCUGAGAGGAUGAUCAGCCACACUGGGACUGAGACACGGCCCAGACUCCUACGGGAGGCAGCAGUGGGGAAUUUUCCGCAAUGGGCGCAAGCCUGACGGAGCAAGACCGCGUGAGGGAGGAAGGCUCUUGGGUUGUAAACCUCUUUUAUCAGGGAAGAAGAUCUGACGGUACCUGAUGAAUCAGCAUCGGCUAACUCCGUGCCAGCAGCCGCGGUAAUACGGAGGAUGCAAGCGUUAUCCGGAUUUAUUGGGCGUAAAGCGUCCGCAGGUGGUUUUUCAAGUCUGCUGUUAAAGCGCAGAGCUUAACUCUGUAACGGCGGUGGAAACUGAGAGACUAGAGUAUGGUAGGGGUUGCGGGAAUUCCCAGUGUAGCGGUGAAAUGCGUAGAUAUUGGGAAGAACACCAGCGGCGAAAGCGCGCAACUGGGCCAUUACUGACACUCAUGGACGAAAGCUAGGGGAGCGAAAGGGAUUAGAUACCCCUGUAGUCCUAGCUGUAAACGAUGGGUACUAGGUGUUGACCGUAUCGACCCGGGUCAGUGCCGUAGCUAACGCGUUAGUACCCCGCCUGGGGAGUAUGCACGCAAGUGUGAACUCAAGAUGACGGGGCCGCACAGCGUGAGUAUGUGUUAUCGAUGCACGCGAGAUCUACAGCUGACAUGUCACGAUCUCGAUGAGUCG